UGGAGGCUUUCUUGAUCAUGGAUGGUGAAGAUAUACCAGAUUUUUCAAGUUUGAAGGAGGAAACUGCUUAUUGGAAGGAUCUUUCCUUGAAGUAUAAACAAAGCUUCCAGGAAGCUCGGGAUGAGCUAGUUGAAUUCCAGGAAGGAAGCAGAGAGAGGCAGAGUUGGAGGCACAAUUAGUACAGGCUGAACAAAGAAAUAGAGACUUGCAAGCUGAUAACCAAAGACUGAAGUACGAAGUAGAAGCAUUGAAGGAGAAGCUAGAACAUCAAUAUGCACAGAGCUACAAGCAGGUCUCAGUAUUAGAAGAUGAUUUAAGUCAGACUCUGGCCAUUAAGGAGCAAUACAUAAGUAUGUAAGAGAGCUGGAACAGGCUAAUGAUGACCUGGAGCGAGCAAAAAGGGCAACAAUAGUUUCACUGGAAGACUUUGAACAAAGGUUAAAUCAAGCCAUUGAACGAAAUGCAUUUUUAGAAAGUGAACUUGAUGAAAAGGAAUCUUAGUUGGUCUCUGUACAGAGGUUGAAAGAUGAAGCAAGAAAUUUAAGGCAAGAACUAGCUGUUCGGGAAAGACAACAGGAAGUAACUAGAAAGUCAGCUCCCAGUUCUCCAACGCUGGACUUCGAAAAGAUGGAUUCUGCCAUCCAAGCAUCACUUUCUUUGCCAGCUACCCCUGUUGGCAAAGGAACGGAGAACAGUUUUCCUUCACCGAAGGCUAUACCAAACGGUUUUGGUACCAGUCCACUGACUCCUUCAGCUAGGAUAUCAGCACUGAACAUCGUGGGGGAUCUCUUACGGAAAGUCGGGGCUUUAGAAUCCAAAUUAGCAGCUUGCAGGAAUUUUGCAAAGGACCAAGCAUCACGAAAAUCCUAUAUUUCAGGGAAUGUUAACUGUGGGGUGAUGAAUAGCAAUGGCACGAAGUUCUCUCGAUCAGGGCACACGUCUUUCUUCGACAAAGGGGCAGUAAACAGCUUUGACCCGGCUCCUCCUCCUCUUGGUCUGGGCUCCUCGCGCCCGUCGUCAGCACCGGGUAUGCUGCCGCUCAGUGUGUGAGUGCCCGGCCUCCAGGUGGGGGCUCCUGCCCCCCUCCAAGCACAAGACACCCACGCCUCACCCCUCGGUGCCUGGGCCCAGCUCGUGCCCCUCCGCCUGCCUCCCCACAGCUGGCAGAGGGCAGGCUGCAUGCAGUGGCAGCUGCUGGGCUCGGUCUGGCCGCAGGACUCUGCGCGAUUUCAACACUGGCUAUUUUCUCUUCUCGCCAUAGUGCCGUUGGUUUCACAUGAUUGCACUUUUGUGGGUCACAAGGUGAUACAUGCGUGUAUUACUCGGUCACUGGAUGCAGAAGUACCCAUUCAUCAUAGCAUCUCCUAGCCCGGCCCUGCUGUACUGAUAGGAUUUAGUUGUGUUUAGGACAUUGCAGAUCUUCUAGAAGUUCUUCCCCAAAUCAGGUCAGCUUGUGGUCUCCUCCUGAGCUCCCAGCCAAGCGCCUCCAGUGCUGAUGAUCAUGUGUCCCCCUUCCCCCCGGGUUGGGCCUGUGGCUGGUGGAGAGUCAGGAAGGCCACUGAACUAGGGAGCAUUUUCUGCACCUUCUGGUUUUACUUUCU